rnacentral:antisense_RNA from 1 species
CUUGACCGAGCCCAGCCACAACGGCUGGUCGGCCGAGCGAUCCCGGCCGUAGGCGGACAACAGGGCCUGCGCCUC